UACGAAGGGUGCAAGCGUUACUCGGAAUUACUGGGCGUAAAGCGUGCGUAGGUGGUUGUUUAAGUCUGUUGUGAAAGCCCUGGGCUCAACCUGGGAAUUGCAGUGGAUACUGGGCGACUAGAGUGUGGUAGAGGGUAGGUGGAAUUCCCGGUGUAGCAGUGAAAUGCGUAGAGAUCGGGAGGAACAUCCAUGGCGAAGGCAGCUACCUGG
rnacentral:rRNA from 1 species